CCUACGGGUGGCAGCAGUCGGGAAUAUUGCGCAAUGGAGGAAACUCUGACGCAGUGACGCCGCGUGCAGGAAGAAGGUUUUCGGAUUGUAAACUGCUUUAGACAGGGAAGAAAAAAGACAGUACCUGUAGAAUAAGCUUCGGCUAACUACGUGCCAGCAGCCGCGGUAAUACGGAGGGAGCAAGCGUUAGCCGGAUUUAUUGGGUGUAAAGGGUGCGUAGGCGGAGAAGCAAGUUAGUUGUGAAAUCCCUCGGCUUAACUGAGGAACUGCAACUAAAACUAGUUGCCUUGAGUACUGGAGAGGAAGGUGGAAUGCCUGGUGUAGCGGUGAAAUGCGUAGAUAUUAGGAGGAACACCGGUGGCGAAGGCGACUUUCUGGACAAUAACUGACGUUGAAGCACGAAAGUGUGGGGAGCAAACAGGAUUAGAUACCCCGGUAGUC
rnacentral:rRNA from 1 species